AUUGAACGCUGGCGGAAUGCUUUACACAUGCAAGUCGAACGGAGAGAGGUAGCUUGCUACUGAUCUUAGCGGCGGACGGGUGAGUAAUGCUUAGGAAUCUGCCUAUUAGUGGGGGACAACAUUUCGAAAGGAAUGCUAAUACCGCAUACGUCCUACGGGAGAAAGCAGGGGAUCUUCGGACCUUGCGCUAAUAGAUGAGCCUAAGUCGGAUUAGCUAGUUGGUGGGGUAAAGGCCUACCAAGGCGACGAUCUGUAGCGGGUCUGAGAGGAUGAUCAGGCACACUGGGAGAGGGUCACGUCCCAGACUCCUACGGGAGGCAGCAGUGGGGAAUAUUAGACACUGGGCGGAAGCCUGAUCCCGCCAUGACGAGUGUGUGAAGAAGGCCUUAUGGUUGUAAAGCACGUUAAGAGAGGAGGAGGGUACUUUAGUUAAGACCUGGGAAUAGGGGACGAUACUCGCAGAAUAAGCACCGGCUAACUCUGUGCCAGCCGCCGCAGUAA
rnacentral:rRNA from 1 species